rnacentral:rRNA from 1 species
GACGAACGCUGGCGGCGUGCUUAACACAUGCAAGUCGAGCGGUAAGGCCCUUUCGGGGGUACACGAGCGGCGAACGGGUGAGUAACACGUGGGUGACCUGCCUUUAGCUCUGGGAUAAGCCUGGGAAACUGGGUCUAAUACUGGAUAUGACUCCACGGUGCAUGUCGUGGGGUGGAAAGCCUUGUGCGGCUGAGGAUGGGCCCGCGGCCUAUCAGCUUGUUGGUGGGGUGANGGCCUACCAAGGCGACGACGGGUAGCCGGCCUGAGAGGGCGACCGGCCACACUGGGACUGAGACACGGCCCAGACUCCUACGGGAGGCAGCAGUGGGGAAUCUUGCGCAAUGGGCGAAAGCCUGACGCAGCGACGCCGCGUGAGGGAUGACGGCCU